GCGGCUACUUUAUCAGAUGGGGCAGGGGGGUUCGAUUCUUGAGAAGCGGAAGUGAAGUGACGGGUGAAGACUGAGGAUUUGGUUAGUGAUCUUGUAGAGUUAUGAAGGAGGGUUUUGUGGAAUCUCGUUAAAUGUGUAUAAAUGAAUCGCAAAUUCCUCAUUUUGAAUUGAAGAGCAGAUUUUGGUUUUUGAUUUUGUAUUUGGAUAGAUAAUACUGUGAACUGCUAUAUGAUCAUUACGGCAAGUAGAGGAAGAGCUCACUAAGUCACUGAGUUCAUAGCAUUGAAG
rnacentral:misc_RNA from 1 species